ensembl:snRNA U6 U6 spliceosomal RNA
GUGCUCACUUCGGCAGCACAUAUGCUAAAAUUGGAACGAUACAGAGAAGAUUAGCAUCCUGCUCAAGGAUGACAUGCAAAUUCGUGAAGUGUUAUAUUUUUUG